UACGGGGGGGGGCAAGCGUUGUUCGGAAUUACUGGGCGUAAAGGGCUCGCAGGCGGCCGACUAAGUCAGACGUGAAAUCCCUUGGCUUAACCAAGGAAUGGCGUCUGAUACUGGACGGCUUGAAUCCGGGAGAGGGAUGUGGAAUUCCAGGUGUAGCGGUGAAAUGCGUAGAUAUCUGGAGGAACACCGGUGGCGAAGGCGGCAUCCUGGACCGGUAUUGACGCUGAGGAGCGAAAGCCAGGGGAGCAAAGCGGG
rnacentral:rRNA from 1 species